UGACUCUGGUUUCUCUUCAUUACGCACAAGCCUUUCGCCUUUUACUAAAGACUUCCGUGGAGAGGAACACUUACGAGUUCAACGUAUUUUUGGAGCGGCUCUGCUUCUUGCAGAGCC
ensembl:snRNA U5 U5 spliceosomal RNA